UAGAGUUUGAUCCUGGCUCAGAACGAACGCUGGCGGCAGGCCUAACACAUGCAAGUCGAGCGUGAUUCCAGAACUUCGGUUCUGGAUGAAAGCGGCGAACGGGUGAGUAACGCGUGGGAACGUGCCCCUUAGUAUGGAAUAGCCCGGGGAAACCUGGAAUAAUACCAUAUACGCCCUUCGGGGGAAAGAUUUAUCGCUAAGGGAUCGGCCCGCGUCUGAUUAGGUAGUUGGUGAGGUAAAGGCUUACCAAGCCUACGAUCAGUAGCUGGUUUGAGAGGAUGAUCAGCCACACUGGGACUGAGACACGGCCCAGACUCCUACGGGAGGCAGCAGUGGGGAAUCUUGGACAAUGGGGGCAACCCUGAUCCAGCCAUGCCGCGUGAGUGAAGAAGGCCUUCGGGUUGUAAAACUCUUUCAACGGUGAAGAUAAUGACUGUAACCGUAGAAGAAGCCCCGGCUAACUCCGUGCCAGCAGCCG
rnacentral:rRNA from 1 species